rnacentral:rRNA from 1 species
UACGAAGGGGGCUAGCGUUGUUCGGAAUUACUGGGCGUAAAGCGCGCGCAGGCGGUUCUCCAAGUCAGUGGUGAAAGCCCGGAGCUCAACUCCGGAACUGCCAUUGAAACUGUUGAACUUGAGGACGAGAGAGGUGAGUGGAAUUCCCAGUGUAGAGGUGAAAUUCGUAGAUAUUGGGAAGAACACCAGUGGCGAAGGCGGCUCACUGGCUCGUUUCUGACGCUCAGGCGCGAUAGCGUGGGGAUCAAACAGG